AACUUUGCAAUGUGCGAAAGCACGACAAGGUUAAUCCGAGUGGUUUCUGCUAAAGAAACCUUUUGCUAGUCCUAGAAACACUAGUGAAUAAGGGGUGGGCAAGUUCUGGUGUCAGCCGCCGCGGUAAAACCAGCACCUCAAGUGGUCAGGAUGAUUAUUGKGCCUAAAGCAUCCGUAGCUCGUUUUGUAAGUUUUCGGUUAWAUCCAUACGCUUAACGUAUGGGCUGCCGGGAAUACUKCAUAAYUAGGAAGUGGGAGAGGUAGACGGUACUCGGUAGGAAGGGGUAAAAUCCUUUGAUCUAUUGAUGACCACCUGUGGCGAAGGCGGUCUACCAGAACACGUUCGACGGUGAGGGAUGAAAGCUGGGGGAGCAAACCGGAUUAGAUACCCGGGUAGUCCCAGCUGUAAACUAUGCAAACUACAGUGAUGCAUUGGCUUGUGSCCAAGUGCAGUGCUGCAGGGAAGCCGUUAAGUUUGCCGCCUGGGAAGUACGUACGCAAGUAUGAAACUUAA
rnacentral:rRNA from 1 species